AUUUAACAAAAAACACUCAUCUGUCCUGUUUUGGAUUAAAACGUGCUGUGACCGCCUGAGCCAAGUGUGGGGGAAAGCCUGGUGAGAGCAGGCUAGGAGCAGAAGACUCAGUCCCUUGUGCAGCUGGACCAUCGUGCCCUCCAUUAAUCUGCCCAAACGAGAAUACCCUCGGCAGCCGAGCCCUUUGUAGCCCUUUUUUUGAAAGGAUUUGCUCAACUGGUGGAAAAUGGAAAGAAAGAGGAAGUG